rnacentral:rRNA from 2 species
GGUGGCGAAGGCGGCCCCCUGGACAAAGACUGACGCUCAGGUGCGAAAGCGUGGGGAGCAAACAGGAUUAGAUACCCUGGUAGUCCACGCCGUAAACGAUGUCGACUUGGAGGUUGUUCCCUUGAGGAGUGGCUUCCGGAGCUAACGCGUUAAGUCGACCGCCUGGGGAGUACGGCCGCAAGGUUAAAACUCAAAUGAAUUGACGGGGGCCCGCACAAGCGGUGGAGCAUGUGGUUUAAUUCGAUGCAACGCGAAGAACCUUACCUACUCUUGACAUCCAGAGAACUUAGCAGAGAUGCUUUGGUGCCUUCGGGAACUCUGAGACAGGUGCUGCAUGGCUGUCGUCAGCUCGUGUUGUGAAAUGUUGGGUUAAGUCCCGCAACGAGCGCAACCCUUAUCCUUUGUUGCCAGCGGUUCGGCCGGGAACUCAAAGGAGACUGCCAGUGAUAAACUGGAGGAAGGU